AUGAUGAUAAAAAGUAAAAUUUAUGGUUAGAAACAAAUGAUAAACCGUGAUUUAAACCCAACUAGGGCGAUCUGAUUUA